GCUCGGGUGUUCAGGUCCUCAGCAGGACAAUUCCAUUGCUAGGAAACAUAAAGAUGUUUGGCAGAGCAAAACACGAGCACAGGUGGACUUGUGGUCCUUAAACAGGGAUGCUAAAGAACAGGUAGCAGGGAGCUGUGUUUGAGCCUCCAGUGCUCAGGUGACCCCAGCAAUUGUCCUGGCCAGGUUGAACCAGUAACAAAACCAGGCAACUGCUGGGAAAGUGUGUUGGCAACCCCCUGUGUGACAGUCCUGGGCCCUGUCUGGACCUCAGGACAGCAAAAAGUGAAUAAUUGUUCAUCAGCAGCACUGGUGGCUUAAUGAGUGCCUCCUGUCUAUGAGAGGCCCAGGGGUUUGGUUUGUCCUUAUCAUCAGACAGCUGCUGGACAGAGGGUCUGGGGCAGUGAAGGACUCAGGUGGGUCUUGGACAUCUUACAAGGACAAUUCUGCUUCUUGUAGGGCUCUGAGGGUGCCUCUGAGCAGGACCCCAGGGCUGGGGAGGUGCUGACUGUGCUCCCAGAGAAGCGUUGCAGGUUUCCUCUGCUCUGUCUCAUUUUUGGGUGGAAACACAGCUUCUCUCCAAGCUGCUGCAAGGGACCAUCCUCCUGUUUGCCUGCUGUCCUGUGCAGGCCGACUCACAGCCCUUCCUGCCUGGAUUUUGCAGUUUCACCUCUUUCAGAGGAAUAAAGACUCUACAUUAUACGCACUAGAUGAGCGAGGGACAUUAAGAAUGAACUGGAACAUAACUGCAAAAUACAGCAUGUCCAAUCCAAUUUUUCCUAGCAAAUGAAAUGGAUCUGGUGGAAAAUAAAUACAGAACUUCCAGGAGCAGCGUCCUUGAAGAGCAUUUGAGGGGGAUGAAGAGAUUUGAAUGGAUCAACCCUCUAUACCUCUUCAUAUCCCUCCUCCCACCCUUAAAUGCCAUCUUUAACAGAAAUAAAUUAGAAUAAACGAUCAGCCCAUGCCUCCUAAAGACAGGUGGCAGGGUAAUAUUAAAAGAAAUGAAUAAAAAUUCAUUUAAUGAGCAUUGUUAAUUAAA